AGCAAAUCAGCUCCCUCCUUUUGUUUACUGGCACUGCUGUCCCUGUGUCCAUAAUAAUAAACUUAAUAAAUACCAAAUGGACCCAGUACCAAGGAGCAAGGGCGUGGCAUGUGCUAGGCUGGGGUAGUUCAAGAUUCAGUCUGAAUUCAUGUAAUUCUUGAAUCCUUCAUUCAUAAUGUUAUUUGAUCCUUGGAACAUGCCCUACCACAGGAACAACUUUGAGUCCAAGAUGCUCAUGAAGCAGCACGAGGAACUGAUGACCGACAUGAAGAAAAUGAGCGAGCAGAUCAAUUAUGCUUUGGUCAAAUGUAAAAACCUUACACUGGAAAAUGACUGAUACUGCCACAGCUUCUGCCCCCUCCUAACUGAGUUUUUUGAGCUGAAGAACAAUGCCCAGAGAGCAAGGAAUGAGAACAGGGAGCUUCUAUGGGAUCAGAUUGCACUGGAAGAGUCCAUUAAGGAAACAACAAGGUUCUGUGGGGAAGCUGUAUGAAAAUCCGUGGACCAAGCAGCCUAAGGUUGUUCACAUCUCUCCUCAACUGACAUUGAGACAUUGGGAUCUCUUACCCUUCUGUCUUGAGCAUGAGAAAAUGACCUCAGAUGAAAGAUCAUCCUGCAUUAUCCUGCUGAAUUGUGCUGCUGUGUAUGGGAUAAGUGACAUGGCAGGUCCUCACCAGGCCUUUUCUACCCCUAGGUCUGAAACACUGCAGCAGAAGCUUGCCCAGGGCCCAGACCAGGACUACAGCUCUCAGAGACAGACCUGUCCACCAGGAGCACUGAGGGUGCAAAGAUUGACAAGUCCUCCCGCAUCUCAGUCCUUGUAACCAUUCCAAUCUUGGGCUUAAUUUGAAAGACCUUGAGAUGUGGCAUGGGACAUGCCUCAACGUUUAACCUUUUGACGACUUGUCCAUCAACAACCAACCACCCCAAAUGAGGCGUCUACAUUCCUCUUGAAGAGAUUUUACCAUCUUACCUGCCGUUCUGCUGUGUUUGCAAGGCCAGCAACAGGCUGGAGUUAUAUGUUGAAAAAUCACCAGGAAUUGAAUGCUGACUAAUUUACUUGUUAUAUUUGGUUUUUAGUUUGAAGUUUGGUUUUAUGCAUUUGGAUUUAUUUGUUUAAGUUUGAAGUUUUGUUAUUCAUUUGUUAACUUUAGUUUUUUAAAUUAAUAUGCCAUAUUCCUAAGGCUAUAUACAUUGAACUCAUUGACUCCCCAAUUUAAAAUGUUCUUGAAUAAAUUAAUGUUUGUCUAUAAGUAAAAAUGUGACCUUUAACCCUUCA